rnacentral:rRNA from 1 species
AUGAACGCUGGCGGCGUGCCUCAUACAUUCAAGUCGAGCGAACAGACGAGGAGCUUGCUCCUCUGACGUUAGCGGCGGACGGGUGAGUAACACGUGGAUAACCUACCUAUAAGACUGGGAUAACUUCGGGAAACCGGAGCUAAUACCGGAUAAUAUAUUGAACCGCAUGGUUCAAUAGUGAAAGACGGUUUUGCUGUCACUUAUAGAUGGAUCCGCGCCGCAUUAGCUAGUUGGUAAGGUAACGGCUUACCAAGGCAACGAUGCGUAGCCGACCUGAGAGGGUGAUCGGCCACACGGGAACUGAGACACGGUCCAGACUCCUACGGGAGGCAGCAGUAGGGAAUCUUCCGCAAUGGGCGAAAGCCUGACGGAGCAACGCCGCGUGAGUGAUGAAGGUCUUCGGAUCGUAAAACUCUGUUAUUAGGGAAGAAGAAAUGUGUAAGUAACUAUGCACGUCUUGACGGUACCUAAUCAGAAAGCCACGGCUAACUACGUG